UUACAAAAAGAAGGCACUUUAUUUAAGAGAAAUUCAUUUUACAAGUCAUCUUCUUUAUAAAUUUCAGGUAAAAUUUUGGAAAGGAAAAGAAAUGAAAAAGGCUGCUGAAAGAAUCUUUGCACAGAAAGUUGUUUUUAAGCUGAGGUCAAAAACUUGAAUAGCAUUUUUCAUUUUACGUGCAUCAUGAAGAAUGCAGAUCCUCAUUGUUGCAUUAUCAGUGAAUUUCAAGUAGCUGCCACCCUCCGUGAUUAGGAUUCUAUUCACUGUUGCCUUUCUGCAGCUGUUCUGUGAGAAAUCAAGAUGGAGCAGGAAGAAAACGAGGUGUUUCCUUCCUUCCCUGCCUCUCAAAAAAGUACGGAGGUUGUGCGUCAAAACCUGCUGUUCAACAAUCCCAGCUGCAUGCAUCUUAUUAUCCCAGUGCUGAUUACAAGAUCCCAUUGACCACAAGCUGCCUGUCUGCCUGUCUAGAUGGUGUGAUUAGUGUAUAAUCAAUCUUUAAUCCAAUCAGAAAACUCUCUGUCUGCAACUGAUAAAGGUCUCGGCAGGGUACUGAUGAGGCCAGAGCCUUGGUAUCUCUAAGGGGACACCUGCAGCAUGUGAGGUGAAGAAGCUAAGCAGGCUGAUCUAAGAGAAAGGAAUUAAGGUGGUCUGUAAAAAAUCUGAUAAACAACAUUCAAACAGAACAAACUAGGUAGCUAAAGUGUAGGGCUCAACAUUCCAAGAGUCCCUGAAAUGCUGUUCUGCUCUAAAUCGUAACACAAAGAGAGAAUCAUCUUUUAGCUCAGAAAGACCAUCCAAGGCAUAACAUUUAGUUUUUGUUCAUUAAAAGCCACCAAAAUAAUUUAACGGAUUAUCUGAUUCCCUCCAGUGCAUGAAUUCAUCUGUGCUACUUCAUUUUUUACUUUGUUGUCUCUAUGUCUUUAAAGGAUGCUGGAAUGGUGUAUGUGACUUUCUAAAUUAUAAUGCCAGAAAAUAAUUGCCUGUUCAUUGCUUUUUCUUUCUUUUUUUUUUUUUUUUUUUUUAAUUUCUUGACCCAAAUUAAAUAUUUUUUCUCACUUUAUCUCAGUAUUCUUUCCUAAUUCUGCAAAUGGGAUACUUAUAAUUACAGCUCAUAUUAAAGCUGUUAAAAAACAGCAUAUUAUUAUAUGAU
rnacentral:lncRNA from 1 species